GUGCCAGCAGCCGCGGUAAGACGUAGGGGGCAAGCGUUGCUCGGAAUCACUGGGCUUAAAGGGUGCGUAGGCGGCACGGCAAGUUGGGUGUGAAGGCCCUCGGCUCAACCGAGGAAUUGCGCCCAAAACUGCCGCGCUCGAGGGAGACAGAGGUGAGCGGAACUUAGGGUGGAGCGGUGAAAUGCGUUGAUAUCCUAAGGAACACCGGUGGCGAAAGCGGCUCACUGGGUCUCUUCUGACGCUGAGGCACGAAAGCUAGGGGAGCGAACGGGAUUAGAUACCCCGGUAGUCCUAGCUGUAAACGAUGAGCACUGGGUCGGAGAGUCUUCCAUAACUUUCCGGCCGAAGCGAAAGUGUUAAGUGCUCCGCCUGGGGAGUAUGGUCGCAAGGCUGAAACUUAAAGGAAUUGACGGGG
rnacentral:rRNA from 1 species